GAGCAUGUGGUGGAAGAAGUGAACAAAUAACAGGGUUGGAGAGAAUACAAGACCGCGAGUGGUCGGGGGACUUCUGAGCAGGCACAGAGCGGUCAACACAGCCACCUGCAGCUCGCAAAUAUACAGGACCCUGGUGUUCCUUCCACUUUUACUGGACUGCUUGUUUUCAGUGGAAGAAAACAAAAGUCUCCCCCCUUCCCCACCGAUACCAGAAACCAAGGAAAGGAAAAUGUUGGCUGACUGACAAAAAUGGGCUUUAUAUAGCAAGACUUGAGAGCCUCCAGGCAACUGACCCAGAAGAGCAGCAGACUAAAGACCUUAUUGUGGGCAUCCUCACUCUGUUGGAUGAUGAUUCAGCUCCUGCAAGUGGCGCGUACAUUGCUGUUAUCAUAGAAGAAGACAUCAUCAUUCAAGAUCUCCCUGACCUGCCAACAGCAUUUGCCUACCUCUUUGGGCUGAUCUAUGCUUUAAACCUUAAGUAUCCAAAGGAACUGAGGUACACAUUUGAGACAAUUCAGAGGGUUUCCUUGGGAAUUGGAAUUGAUCUUUCUGCAAGAGUCAGAUUUCACAAAACCAAAAUCCAUGCAUGAAUCCAGUGUGUUCAGUUGUCAGCUGUUAGCUGACUGACAGUUUUGAAUUUCACAAGUCCCUCUUGCCCGUUGUAUAAUAAUGUUUUAAUGGUUCAUAUCUUUUUAAUGAGAUGGAUCCCUCUCCACCUCUUCCGAUUUGCUUUCCCCCCCCUCUCUCUCCUCUUUUUCUCAAGUUCCCUCUCUCAACGUCUCUUCUCUCACCCUCGUCUACCCUCUUUAUCUCCUCCAGUUCUCAAGCUCUAUCUCUUCUCUACUCCUUUUCUUUAUCUCAAGUUCCCUUUCCACCUCUCUUCUAGACUCUAGUUCUGUGUGCAGUUUUAUUUCAACCCAUGAGCUACCUCUUUUGGUAACUUUUUGUUUUGUCAUGUUGCAUAUUUUAUACUGAUGUCGAAUACUAAUAUCGAUACUAAUAUUAACUCCAUCUUGGUAUGGUCACAACUCCCAGGGAAGUCUUCUUGGAUCUCCCUAAAUGCUACCUCAUUGUAUUUUGCUGUUCGAGAGGUGAUACAUUGUUACAACCCGAGUAAAGUGUUAAGACUGGGAUAGAUACAGGUUCUAAUUUGCUUGGCCUUGUUAAGAAUUUGAUACUUGGUUUGAUAAAAUACAAAAACUAUGAAUGUGGA